CAGUCGCCGCGGGAAUACGUAGGGUGCGAGCGUUAAUCGGAAUUACUGGGCGUAAAGCGUGCGUAGGCGGUUUGUUAAGUCUGUUGUGAAAUCCCCGGGCUCAACCCAUAGUCUGCAUCGGAAACUGUCAGGCUUGAGGAUGGGAGAGGUGAGUGGAAUUUCCGGUGUAGCGGUGAAAUGCGUAGAUAUCGGAAGGAACACCUGUGGCGAAAGCGGCUCACUGGACCACUUCUGACGCUGAUGCACGAAAGCUAGGGGAGCAAACAGGAUUAGAUACCCGCGUAGUCCCUGUCUCUUAUAC
rnacentral:rRNA from 1 species